CUAUAUUUUCGAGCGCGCGGCUGGCUCGUCCUCUUUCUGUGGGGACGUUGUCUUGGUGGAGGUAUGCAGUUUUCUGACUGGGGGAAUGCAUCAACUGAAUUGUUACGCAUGCAGCAUUUCUGUUAAAACUGAUGUAAUGUUGAAGGGGACACCACUGCAGAUUGGAUGGGCUUUUGAAAAGCCAGAAGUCAGAUAACACCAUCUAUGCUUGGACUAUAACCUGGUCAUGUGACCUUGGACUGUGUCCACCCUGGUGCGACAUCAGCUUCACCACACUUUGUAAAGGCAGACAGGUGCAGCAGUAACUACUGAUGGAACACUGGGUACAGCAACCAGAUUACACUUCAGCAUUAACUUGCAGCAGGCUAAUGGUUAUGGAUUUGACUUCAUUCUGAAGCUGGCAUAGAAUGGUUAAUUGACCUGGUCCAUAAUUGCAACAAAGUUGUGAAACAUACAUUCAGGAUGCUCACCUUGCCUUUUUCUUUGAAUAAAGAAAUUCUUUAAAUGUG